UCUCCCUGCCUUUCAGGCAUCCUCUCCCAAAACUUUUCAGGCCCGGCUGGUUCAUCCAACCGGGCCUUUUUUCUUGUCCCG
rnacentral:sRNA from 1 species